rnacentral:rRNA from 1 species
CUACGGGGCGCUCCAGUAAGGAAUAUUGCACAAUGGGGGAAACCCUGAUGCAGCAACGCCGCGUGGAGGAUGACGCAUUUCGGUGUGUAAACUCCUUUUAUGAGUCAAGAAAAUGACGGUAGCUCAUGAAUAAGCACCGGCUAACUCCGUGCCAGCAGCCGCGGUAAUACGGAGGGUGCAAGCGUUACUCGGAAUCACUGGGCGUAAAGGACGCGUAGGCGGGAUGUCAAGUCAGGUGUGAAAUCCUAUGGCUCAACCAUAGAACUGCACUUGAAACUGGCAACCUAGAGUAUGGGAGGGGGAGAUGGAAUUAGUGGUGUAGGGGUAAAAUCCGUAGAUAUCACUAGGAAUACCGAAAGCGAAGGCGAUCUCCUGGAACAUUACUGACGCUAAGGCGUGAAAGCGUGGGGAGCAAACAGGAUUAGAUACCCCAGUAGUC